UUGGGAUAGCUCAGUCGGUAGAGCAGAGGACUGAAAAUCCUCGUGUCAC
rnacentral:tRNA from 1 species